rnacentral:lncRNA from 1 species
AUGGAUGCUGAGAAAUGGAUGCACUGUACCAACCCGCAAGUUUCCUGGUACUGCUGCUGUCAUUGCAACACCACGGCUUCUUCAAAGUAUCCAUCUCUUGCCUCUGCCAGAAAAAGCCGGCUGCUAGCAGAAACUAAAUCCAAGGUCACUUACUUUCACAUAAAGAGAAUAUUUUGGCAGCUGCCAAAAUUCAUUUUUCUAAUGUGCACUUACCCAAUAACUGAAGCUUGGCAUGCUGGGCGUACUCCAACUUGGGUAAUUCCAUUCUCACAACUGAAUUCACCCAAGGAGUUUGAACUGAACAUCGCAUUAUUCUUCACUUCUUCGGCUAUCCUCUCACUUCCCUUCUGCGGAACUCAACCUGCUCCACAAGCCUCAAAAACAACCUGUUAAUGUUCUUGAACUGCAGUUUUCACACACUAACAGGUGAACUGUUCAAGCUGGUGUGGCUGAAACUUCAGGGUUGGAGCCUCACAGCAAAGCCCCAGACCAUGCCCACCCCACUGCAGCCAUUCAGGACAGCCUCACAGAAGCCUGCAAGGAAAUCAGUUCCUCGCUGGAAGUCAAUAACAAGGAGCCUCUAGAAAUCGAGAUCUGACACUGACAACCGAAGAACUUAAGUCAUUAGGCAUAUAAGACUGGGCAUGACAGACACUACCCCAGUCCCAGGCAUGCGGACUUGCCUGAGCACACUGUAAGUGCUUAGACGGCUUCAACAAAAUGCUGUCUUGAAUUACCAGCUUAUACCUUCAUAGUUAAGAGAUCAUUACUCGGCACAACAUGGCAGCUAAUAUUUAAAACAAAUAGUAAAGAGGAAAGGCAAUCAUUUCCUCACUAAAUGAAAUAGGAGAUAUGAAUCAGCGGAAUACAAUCUGGCACUGAUUGAAAGUAAAUUACCAGCUGAUUAGACGGCUAUAAAUACAGGGAGAGAAGCCUCAACAGGCAGCUGGAUUUUGUAAGGAAGAGGGCAAUUAGAGAGGGCACAGAAGAGACAGAGCACAGCCAGGGCAGCUCUGCGGCACCACGAUUACAAAGGCAGGAAGGGGUCUGUAGGAAGCGUUCUGCGGCUGGAACCUGCAUGAAAGGGGAGCUCCUCACUCCCACUCACCCUGCCCCACCUCCCUGGUGAGCAUGAAGAGGUUAAACUGCCAGACCCAUAGCUGGCAGCAGUUAGGAGGGGUGUUUGUUACUGCAACACAGGAAAUAUCAACAAUUUAUCCUCCUUUUCUAUGCAAUACUCAAUCUGGAAGCUUAUUGCUUCCUAUCAAAAGCCAGGGACUUGAAAACUCCUCAGGCCCCUGCAGCCCGCAAGGAACAAGGUUCAUGCAGAUCUCAGUGGGAGAUGCAAUCUCUAGACAGCAGCGGGGCCACUUGGUGCACGCAGCAAGCACUUAAAGAUGCAAGCCUCCGUGAUGCCAGGAACUGAGAACUCUCUGCAAUUAGUAGGAGUGUAACUGGAAAGCCAAGAGCUCCUCUGUGCCCACCAAAGGACACUCCCUCUUCCUCUGGCAAGUUGGAGGAGAUAGCUUGGCCAGCCCAGAAAGAAGUGAUUGGCUGGGACAGAAAUGAGGGAGAGGAGGAUGACGGUGAUUUUUACUUGGGUGACGGGCAUGAACAUGACAAAGAACAGGCAGUGGAUGCCUUAGUCCCACUGCUGUUAUGAAUUCCAUAGCCCUGAGCCUUGCCCUACUACAGACUUGUGUAAUUCUCAAGAAUGUGCUCUCAUGGCCCAAGGGGAGACUAUGCAGCGCAGACCCUCCAGCUGCGAGGUUAACUCAGCAAUGCUCCACCCUUGUCAUCUUUGGGUUUCAGUGCUAACACUCUUCUCACCAGAAGGGAACACUUGGUGGAAGCUGCAGUACACCCAAUGACCACAUCAGCUGCAGUCUGCAUCGAGAAGAAAUGAUUCUAAUGUGACAUGACAGAGGACAUAUGAGAUGAUGAAUAAGCAAUAUAGAAUAAAAAUGAUGGAGGAAAGGGUAAGAAAAAGGUCUUUUUUGAGCUAGGAUAAAGUCAUUUCCUUAGCCAGAUCUGACUAAGGGUUUCAUUCUCUAACUUAGAGGCACCAAGAAGUUACAACACAUAGUGCUAAUUGAAACUUAUUUUGUAGGUACCAUAUUUGUUAACGGGAUACAGUUAGCUGCUUACAGUUUAGUUAAGUGAUAUAGUUCUCAACCCACAUGGGGUCAGUCAUUUUCAACAAAUCUUUUUUUUUUUCUUGUAGAAUUCAGAGUUAAAGAACUCCUUAAAGGAUACAUAAAACUGUCAUCGGUAAUUAAGAUUUCAGUGGUCUGAGGGUGAACUCCAGGUAAGUAGUCCCUCUUAUCAAAUGUCUCUUUAACAAGGCUUGCAGCUAUCUGGAUGAGACACCCAUCACAAAAGCCAGUAUUCAUCAGAUCAGGAAAGGGGCACAAAUAAGACAUUAGCCAAGAAAUAAUUCAAAGAUAUUUUUGAACUAGUUUGGGGCCAACUUUUGGGUGAGAACAGAAGAGGAAUUGAAUUCACUUCAUCUGGUGUUAACUGAAAUAAGGGUUAAUGUGUCAAAUAUUAACUUCAUCACUGACUAAAACUAAGACCACAGAUUAGAGCACCAAAGGGUGUGACUAGAAAAGCACUGCAAAAAAGAAUGCAAAAACAGGAAGAUCUCAUGUUAAGAGCUGGCUGCCUAAUGGAUAAGAAAUACGAGGAGAGGCGGGGCGCGGUGGCUCAAGCCUGUAAUCCCAGCACUUUGGGAGGCCGAGGAGGGUGGAUCACGAGGUCAAGAUCGAGACCAUCCUGGUCAACAUGGUGAAACCCUGUCUCUACUAAAAAUACAAAAAAUUAGCUGGGCAUGGUGGCACAUGCCCGUAAUCCCAGCUACUCAGGAGGCUGAGGCAGGAGAAUUGCCUGAUCCCAGGAGGUGGAGGUUGCGGUGAGCCGAGAUUGUGCCAUUGCACUCCAGCCUGGGUAACAAGAGCUCCGUCUCAAACAAAAACAAAAACAAAAACAAAAAUACCAAGAGAACACAAGAAAAGAGACUGGCGAAUAAUGAGGGUGAAUUUAAAGGCUUUCAACAAAGCCACCUUCUCCGGUAGCAUUGCCACUCCUCCUGCUGCCCUCAGGACAAUUCCUGAUCAAGCUGGUCACAGCCUUAUGCUCAGUCAUCCCCUGGGUCCUUCAGCACUUCCUUCCCUGCUAAAGUAGAGGUGAGGAUCAAUGUUACUUGAGUAAACGUUUGGUUCUCACAAAGGUAAGUACAACUUCCUUCUCUUAAGACAGCUCCGUUUUCCUAAAGACAGCGUAUGAACCCCCAAGAACCUACAGUGUUCCCUGGGACAGUAAGAGUGUUGAGUCCUCUCUGGUUCUAGGAUUCUAGAAGGAACAAAGUUUAUUAACAAAUCGUAGAGCAACUACGGCUGCCCAACUUUUCCACAUGGUUUAUUCUCUGUAACUAGAUCAUGUUAAUGCAAUUACUAUCAAAAUUUAAGUAGGUUUUUUUUUUGACGUAAACAAGCUUUAAAAACAACUUUAAAAAUGAAAAUAAAGUGGGAAGAAUUACUCUUCCCAAUGUUAAGGCCCAAAAUAUAACUGCAGAACCCCGACAGUAUGGCACUGGUAGAGGGAGCAGGCAAAGCAAUCAGUGGAACAGAACAGAGAACCCAGAUAUAGAUCCUCUCAAAAUUCCCACUAAUUUUAGAUGACAUAAAAGCAAUGGAAUAGAGGAGAACAGCCUUUUCUUUUUCUUUUUAAUAUAUAUUUUAUUGCGUUUUAGGUUUGGGGUACAUGUGAAAAACAUGCAAGAUUGUUGCAUAGGUACAUACAUGGCAAUGUGGUUUGCUGCCUUCCUCCCCAUCACCUAUAUCUAGCAUUUCUCCCCAUGUUAUCCCUCCCCAACUCCCCACCCCACGCUGUCCCUCCCCUAGUUCCCCACUACAGACCCCAGUGUGUGAUGCUCCCCUCCCUGUGUCCAUGUGUUCUCAUUGUUCAAUACCCACCUAUGAGUGAGAACAUGCAGUGUUUGAUUUUUUGUUCUUGUGUCAGUUUACUGAGAAUGAUGGUUUUCAGGUUCAUCCAUGUCCCUACAAAGGACAUGAACUCAUCAUUGUUUAUGGCUGCAUAGUAUUCCAUGGUGUAU